rnacentral:rRNA from 1 species
UACGGGGGGGGCAAGCGUUGUUCGGAAUUAUUGGGCGUAAAGGGCUCGUAGGCGGCCAAUUAAGUCAGACGUGAAAUCCCUCGGCUUAACCGGGGAACUGCAUCUGAUACUGGAUGGCUUGAGUUCGGGAGAGGGAUGUGGAAUUCCAGGUGUAGCGGUGAAAUGCGUAGAUAUCUGGAGGAACACCGGUGGCGAAGGCGGCAUCCUGGACCGACACUGACGCUGAGGAGCGAAAGCCAGGGGAGCAAACGGG